UUUAUGUUCCUUCAAUGGUUACAGUUCCGCUCUGCUCUAUAUACAUUUUUUUACUUCAUCUGCACCUUUUGAGAAUCCAUCAGCUCGAUGUGAGUCAGCAAGCUCAGUCUAGAAUAAAGAAAAUAGCUAUGUUCUAUUUUGGAAUUUUACAGAAGCUUGAUUAUGGAUUGGUUGUGUGCCGGACAUUGGUUCUUCCUCUAACCCAUGAGCCAGUAUAGCAAAUUGAGAAGGUCAUGCGCAUCGAUGUUUGUUCUUCCCAACACCGUUCUUCCCAAAAUUAUUUUUGUUCAGGUCUAACCCAUGCCUUUCUUCUUUUCAUUCUUUAAUCAGAGCACAUUUGAGUUCUUUGAUUGUACCUGUAGUUUGAUUUUGAGCUAUGCAAGGGCAAUAUGAGGAUUUAUAUAUCUUUGUGGCUUAUUUAUUCACUUUGUGUCUUGCCACCCUUUUUCCCCUGGAGGAUAUUCGUACAAAUUAUUUACUUAGGAAGAAGUCUUCUCGAAUUGCUGAUCUCUUCCAGAACAACUACCACCUGUUUGGGCAUAUUGAAAUUGAUAUUAGUUUUACUGCACAUAUACACUUUAGCUACAAAAAAAAUGCCCUCUGGUUCAGCUUCUGCCUUCCCGGAACAAGAACACAAGGGUCUUCGCCCUAUAGUUUUUUUAAUUUGAGAUCACUGGCUUAAGACGGAAGAAGAAUUUUUUGUCAAUCGAGUGAAUUCUAAAGCAUCACAAAUAAACGAGCAGACCUUGGACUAUUUUCCAAUGAAUUCAAGGUCAGAUGGAGUACUUCAAUGACCUAUAUCGUCAUGCAUCUUAUUUAUCAGGACACUAAGUACCUGACAUAUUUUGACAGUCAGGUAGGGAACCAACUUAUCAGUGCAUAAAACAACCUUGCCAUGAAGAAUCAAAGAACAGCAAGAACUAUGAAUUUCUAAUAUGUCUUUGUAAGAUUGUAGCUGUGGCCAUCAACACUGAAGGUAUUGUUAGAGUUCACUUCUUUCUCAAGUUUCAUUGUGUGUGGUAGUGUAUUCAGAACAUUUCGAGCUUCUACCAUCUUAUCCUAAUCCUUUGAUGUACAAUAUAUGUCAUGCCUUAAGCAAUUGACCACUUCUCUUGAAAAAAUAAUCUGGCAGUGGACGCUGUAGCAUUAAGUUCCUCAUCUAAUCAUUAUAAGGUUUCAGAGAAAUUCCAUCAAUAUAAGGUUUCCCUGCAUUUUA